UACAGAGGGGGCAAGCGUUGUUCGGAAUUACUGGGCGUAAAGGGCGCGUAGGCGGCCUUCUAAGUCGAACGUGAAAUCCCCGGGCUCAACCCGGGAACUGCGUCCGAGACUGAAAGGCUUGAAUCCGGGAGAGGGAUGUGGAAUUCCAGGUGUAGCGGUGAAAUGCGUAGAUAUCUGGAGGAACAUCGGUGGCGAAGGCGGCAUCCUGGACCAACACUGACACUGAGGAGCGAAAGCCAGGGGAGCAAACGGG
rnacentral:rRNA from 1 species